rfam:Lactobacillus saniviri JCM 17471 = DSM 24301 NODE_6, whole genome shotgun sequence.
CAUAUGAUUAGAGGUUGCGUGAAUCAUGAGUCACCUUGAGGACAGCCCACAGCUGGAUGAGCCAAGGUAAAAGGGAUGAGCGCCGAAGUGAGACCCGAGUGGAAGGGGAUUGCUGGGCCAGGCAUGAAUAAUGACUGGACUGUCGCAGGAAUGCGGAGCGCUAACAUGACG